ensembl:lncRNA
UUGUAGAGUAAAAUAAAAAAAUGGAACCCAUGUAAAAGGAAAGAGAGCAGACGAUGAUGUUGAUUAGCUUUUUUUAGUGAAAGGGGUAUGUGGUAAAUGUUUUAGAAAAAUGUUUUAGAAAAAUGCUACAUUCACAUAAUUCACAUAUCUAGAUUUGUCGUUGUCUUUGAAAACACCCAGAUGUCGCUUCAGCAUUAACCAUCUAAAAAUUAUGUAAUUUUUUUUGUUUUAUCCCCACUGCCUAUAAUAUACUUCACUGUAAAACCGGAUAGGUCAUUUAACUCAAAAAAUUUGAGGAAACUAAAAUGAUUAACUUGAUAAAUCAAUUUCUUUAAGCCAAAUACGCUUAAAUAUAACAAAAAUUUUACUCAAACUUUGUCAUUUAAAAUGAAUUUUUUGUUAUAUUUAAGUGUAUUUGGCUUAAAGAAAUUGAUCUAUCAACUUAAAAUAUUUUGAGGUCAUUAGUUUAAUGAACUUAUCCAGUUUUACAGUCUUUGGCAUCUCUAAUUCAAUAAAACAUACAUUUAUUUUACCAAAGUAAUGAGAUAAUAUUUUCAUUCAUGUUACUUUAUAAUCUUGACUUGGCUUAGCUAGUUUAACAAAAAGCAGUGUUAAACAUAUCUAAAAACUAGCUUAAAAUCUCUACAACCUUGUGCUUUUCUCAUGAUUUAAUCCCGUUUUUGGAUAGUAACAUGCCAUAGUGAAGCAGACAUUAAUCUAAUCAAUUCAAUUUGUGAUGAGAUACUGACUGUCAAUGUCUAUAAAGAGAAAAGCACUUACAAACUCUGUACAGAUGACAUUGUAUAAUUACAUUUUUUAAUGUUUCAAUGAUAGCUGGAAAAUACUUGAGCAAUUGUACUUUGUUAGUUUUCCUCAAUCCUAUUUUGGAAGAUUUGUACUUUGCUGAAGUAUUAUUAAAAUUGAAUACCUGUACUCCUACUCAGAUAUAUUUCUUUUGGAAAAUUACUUUUUACUUGUUCUCAUUUGCCUACCACAUAAAAAUGACAUUUUAAAUAUAAAAUAUAUCUUUAAAAUUUACCAGAAAAUCUAAAUAAUUAUAUUAUGUAUAAGUUUUUGUAAAUUAUGUAAAGUCAUAGCAUUUUAAAUUGGGAAAUGUAGUCAGUUCAGGAAGACCUGUAGUGUUCAGAACUAUACUGUAGUGUUCAGAAUACAGUACUGUGCAAAUGGCAUAGGCGCAUGUAAGAAAUGGUUUAAAGCAAAGAUUCCUUGAAAAAAAUAAUUAAACAAACAUUCUCAACAUUAAAAGCACUAAACUAAACAGAGUGAAUAUUUGUAUUGGCUGAUACGUUUUUCUAAGCAUCUUGGAGAAUCUGUCACAGAUCCUAAUUUCUCGCCUGUCCACAUUGUCCGUAGACAAUCCCCUGCUUCAUGCCGAUAGUGUGCGCGUUGAGAGCUAUUACCUGAAGUGCGACUUAAGAUGGUGCAAGAUGACGAUGUAUCUCAAAGUGGUAAAUACAGCAUUAUUAAUUAAUAUGUACACAAUUGCAUUUGUAUAAUUUGCACAAAUAUAUUAAUUUUAUCAUUGUCAUUUAAAAGAUCUUAGAGCUUUGAGUCUUGACUAACUGAGGUACCAUUUGAUACCAAACGUAAGUAAAUAAGUAUAUGUAGCUAAUGCACAAAAUGAAAAUAUACUGGUAAACAGUAGUGAACAUUUACAAUCAACACAACACAUGUUGUUGUUUCUUUUGGGGGGGGGGUCAAUGUUCUCUCUGACUUUCAUCUACCACCUGCUGGUGAUGGUGCUGGUGAAGUGCAUUCUUUUACACUAAAGUCAUACAAUCAAUAGUAAAUUAUUAUAGACUGUAGCUAAUUUUGGCUGCCCCAGUUAUCCCAUGACUUAGACAGGAAAACGAGCAACAUAUACUGAAAUAACUGCAAAGAAUUCAAUGCUGAGGGUCUGUUAGAACAGUUUACAGCAAAACAACACAUGGCUUUGCUACAGAACUGUCAAGAGCUUUAGGUGCAAUUUGGAAAGUGUUUGUGCAUUCAUGAGGCUCGACUGUCAUCUCCAAAUACUUUCCACCAUGCCCUUUUAAUUGUUGUCAAAUAAUUCCUAUAAAAUGGUAAUUGUAAAGAAAAAUACUAAGGGAGAUAUCAAGGUCAACUGAACACUGUUCCUGAAAAUAAUUUGUGGAAAUGAAAGACUUGUGUUCCAUUCACUAACAUGGAAAUGGGUGGAGUUAAAAAUUGUAGUGCAGCCAGCCACUAAAGGGCAUCAGAGACAUCUUGGCAUCACUCUUAAACCCCUGUUAUGACAUCCACCCAUAUAUAUAUAUAUAUAUAUAUAUAUAUAUAUAUAUAUAUAU